UCCAGGGCUGGCUGGUGAGGAGGAUAACCCAAGUGACAGCAAUUAUGUCAAGGAUGAUGGUGAUCCUUUGUUGAAGCAGACUGCACAAGAGUAAAGACACGAGGAGAAAGAAUUCAACCAUUUCACAUCCCUGACAUCAUAAUUUUCAAGAGAAUCAAAGCCUGAGAUCAGGUGAUUCCCACAAACUGAAAAUCACUCUCACCCACCAUGCAAGCUGCUGCUUUUUCUGCGCACAUGGGACUCACCAAACCACCAAGAUUCUAGAAAGUAUGUGACAGCACAAGCUGCCUGUCAUCCUGCAGGGACGAAGCUCUGCCAACAAAUUCAAUAUGCACCACGUUUGAUGGAUCAGAAGAUCAGAAUAGAAGCUGCAUGCCAAGUUCAAGAAGAGGAUAGUACCUCAUUUUCCAAACCUUGUAGUCUCUCAUUAUGUCACUGGCCUUCAUUCAAGCAGGUCCCUGGUACCUUUGCCUCUGUGUUGGGGAAGCUGACCUAAGCCACCUCAUGUGCUCGUUUUCUUCAGGACAUCAAGACCAGGCUUCUGAAUCUCAUCCUCUCUCACAAACAGUUCCUAAAGACAGCCAGAAAGCAAUAUGGAAGGGAUGGUGUGAACAAAGAGGAGUGAUACCUGAGAUUUGUGUCAAGUCUGUCCUGUUAACAGAGGCAGCCCUUUUCAAUGCUAUGGAAGCCUGGUCCCUCAGGGCCAUGAAAACAGGCAAGUAGACCUUCAUUGAGUCUGAGCUACAUGUGACUCUUUAGAGAUGUCCAACCACAUUACAGGGUGGCAGUUACGUGAAGGUUGGGGAAGAUCAUAGCUGAGGCUAUAAUGAAGAAGCAUAGAUACUAGAACCUGUAGCCAUGAUAUAUUGCUACACAGGACACAGAAUUGUUACCUGGAUCCUUCCUAUUACAAAGACAGACUGUUGUCAAAUGGGAUAUUGCAUUUUCCCCAAGUGCACACCAAAAGACGUACUCAGCCAAGAGGAAGAGGGGACUCUACUGACCAAGGCUGCGCUUUUCCCAACCACAUCCUAGCUCACUAGGUAAGGUUAAGAUAUUUCAAAGGCAGCAUCCUACUUGUGUGCCUUGAUGAAUGCUAGGAUCAUCAGAAAAGGAUAUAUACAUCUCAUUGCUGCUUGUUCCUAGCCCCUCACCAUAAGUUCCUCAAGGGAGCUUUCUUACUGCUAUGGCUACUCUAUAAAACCCUGUCACAGGACAAAACAGCCAUCUCUUUUUUGUUAAUUUGUUGAUAGGAAAUUCCUCAGGACAGACUGUAUCCCUUCCUUGACAGCACUCCUCAUUUCCUUUUUCCACA